rnacentral:tRNA from 1 species
GGGCCUAUAGCUCAGCUGGUUAGAGCGCACGCCUGAUAAGCGUGAGGUCGAUUGUUCGAGUCCAUUUAGGCCCA